rnacentral:tRNA from 1 species
GGGGGUAUAGUUCAGUGGUAGAGCAUUUGAUUGCAAAUCGAACUGUACUGGCAACUCCCCCCA